UUCAAGUUCGAGGCGUUUUAGGGCUUCUUGGUGGGCCCAAGUUUCAAGGGUGAGAUCGGGCUUGGCAUUGAGUCCCACACCGAGGAUGACGAUGGUGAAGAAGCUGGUGAUGUAGCAAGGGAGUUCCCAAUCCUCCCAUUUUCGGGACUGUCCAGGCGGUGGUGGAACACGGUUGAAUAAGUAUCCGUUAGGUCGAUCCUGGUGGCCCGCAGUGGUGAAUGGAUUUGGCCCGUGUCCUCCUCUGGUGCGGAGGCCCGAACUAACACGGGCUCGUAGCGCGCCGGCGGCGGUCGCUAAGGGUUUCACGGACGGCAU
rnacentral:lncRNA from 1 species